UAGCCCUCGCUUUUGUCCACUGUAAGGUGGUCGACGAAUAAGAGCUGGGCAAGACCGGUGCCAGCCGCCGCGGUAAUACCGGCAGCUCGAGUGAUGUCCCAUAUUAUUGGGCCUAAAGCGUCCGUAGCUGGCCGCGCAAGUCCAUCGGGAAAUCCACCUGCCCAACAGGUGGGCGUCCGGUGGAAACUGUGUGGCUUGGAACCGGAAGGCUCAGAGAGUACGUCCGGGGUAGGAGUGAAAUCCCGUAAUCCCGGACGGACCACCGAUGGCGAAAGCACUCUGAGAAGACGGAUUCGACAGUGAGGGACGAAAGCUAGGGUCUCGAACCGGAUUAGAUACCCGGGUAGUCCGAGCCGUAAACAAUGC
rnacentral:rRNA from 1 species